rnacentral:rRNA from 1 species
GAGUUUGAUCCUGACUCAGAGCGAACGCUGGCGGCGUGCUUAACACAUGCAAGUCGAACGCGCAGCAUUUUGUAGCAAUACAGGAUGUGGGCGCGUGGCGAACGGGUGCGUAACACGUGGAUAACCUUCCUUCAGGUGGGGAAUAACCCAGCGAAAGUUGGGCUAAUACCGCAUAACAUGACGACGAGACAUCUUGUUGUCUUCAAAGGCGCAAGUCGCCAGAAGAGGGAUCCGCGGCCGAUUAGCUUGUUGGCGAGGUAAUGGCUCACCAAGGCAAUGAUCGGUAGCCGGACUGAGAGGUUGGCCGGCCACACUGGAACUGAGACACGGUCCAGACUCCUACGGGAGGCAGCAGUGGGGAAUCUUGCACAAUGGACGAAAGUCUGAUGCAGCAACGCCGCGUGGGGGAUGAAGCUUCUCGGAGUGUAAACCCCUUUCGACCCGGACGAAUGCCCGCAAGGGUUUGACGGUACGGGUAUAAGAAGCCCCGGCUAACUACGUGCCAGCAGCCGCGGUAAUACGUAGGGGGCCAGCGUUGCUCGGAAUUACUGGGCGUAAAGGGUCCGUAGGCGGUGCGGCAAGUCGAUAGUGAAAUCUCUGGGCUUAACUCAUAGGCUGCUAACGAAACUGCCGUGCUCGAGUGUGAGAGAGGCGAGUGGAAUUACGGGUGUAGCGGUGAAAUGCGUAGAUAUCCGUAGGAACAUCCCAAGCGAAGGCGGCUCGCUGGAUCAC